UACAGAGGGUGCGAGCGUUAAUCGGAAUUACUGGGCGUAAAGCGUGCGCAGGCGGUUUUGUAAGCCAGAUGUGAAAUCCCCGGGCUUAACCCUGGGAACUGCAUUUGGGACUGCAAGGCUAGAGUGUGGCAGAGGGGGGUAGAAUUCCUGGUGUAGCAGUGAAAUGCGCAGAUAUCAGGAGGAACACCGGUGGCGAAGGCGGUUCUCUGGGACGGUACUGACGCUGAGACGCGAAAGCGUGGGGAGCGAACAGG
rnacentral:rRNA from 1 species